UAUUUAUCUAUCUAUCUAUCUCUCUCUCUCCCUCUAUCUCCACAUUUCUCUUUUGGAGACAACGAAAGAAUAUGGACGAGUAUCGAAUUAUAAGGUCCACGAAAUACGAGUGAAACGAGCACGAUAAAAAGAAAUUUGGAACGAGAGAAUGUACGUUGAAAAUGAAAAAUAAAAUAUAUCAAGGACUAUUGAAUCAUCAACCUGAAGAAUUAUCUUUUAAUCAUCAUGGAUACGUCAAUUCUUCGAAGUAUCGAAAUAUCGAGUAGAGGUUGAAUGAUAUAGUCCAAGGAUAUGUUAAUUCUCUACUAUCAGAAAAAAAGAAAGAGAGAAAAAAACAAAAACGAAAAGAGAAAAGAAGAAAGAGAGAAUGAGAAGCAGCAAAAAAGAGUGGAAGAGUGAUCGAAGAGUUAUGAAAAAACAGGAUAAACCGAUGCAAGUUGCGGCAAGUUGAAUAUCCGGUUUACCGCGAGAAACCGUUCCUUCCUGCGGUUUAACGCGUCCGUCCAUUCGUGAAUCCUUGGAACUUCGUAAGGAAUGGGAAAGGAGAUCCGGUUUUUCUAUGUGUUUAGAAAAAUCGCUCAAAAAAAAAAAAAGAAGUUAUUAGAUAUUGAACAUUCCUAUAAAUAACGUAGUUUAGUAUUAAUUGACUAUGUUAAAACUAACGAAAUCAUUUAUUUAUUUUAUCAUUUAAAAUUCCAUUUGUUUAGUGUUAAAAUAUUGAUUUCAAAAACGAAAAAAUCUCUUUUUCAUCCUUCAUCUUAUUAUCGAAAUAUUUCUCUUCGAGAAUUCGUAAUUUAUGAGUAGAAUAAAUUAGAUCGACGAUUAAUGCUAGUCUGAAAAUAGUACGAUAAACGGAAUGGUUAAAGGGAGCGGAAAAGAAGAAGAAGAAAAAAUAAAAAGAAAAAAUAAAAAACAUAUCUAAUUAAUUCGAUUCCGAAAGAAAUGGAUCCGAAGAAGAGGAAAAUAAAAACAACGAUUAUAUUCAACAUGGCUGCCAUUGAUACAUCUGAUUGAGAUUAAUAUAAAUUAAUAAUAAAUAUUAAUAUGCUAAAAUGGAUUUUUUAAUAAUUAGAUUUUCAUUAUUAAUUGAGAAAAUUAUUGAAUGAGUGUAAAUUAUUGUACGUCGAAAAAAAUAUUGUCUAUUACGAAUUUGAUCUUUCUCGUAGAUACAUUCAAAUUCAUUUUAUCGUGAUAAUAGACCAAUCAUAUUUCAUCAUUAUCGUUAUCUUUAUUUACUAAUGUAUUAUUUUCUUUUUACAUUGAAAUAUUUCAAAUAAUUUUCUUUAUAUCAAAUAUUAUUUUUGGUUCCUGGCAAAUAAAACGUGUUUCGUUAUUUUUCUCGUGGUUUUCACCGUGCGCAUUAAUUAAAAUUCAAUUGCACGCUUUUUUACCGUACGAAUGAAUUUAAGAUAGGAAAUAUCGUUCUCUCUUUCUCUCUUUUUCUCUUUUUCUCUCUUUUUCUCUUUCUCUUUUCCCUCUCUUCAUUUAAUAUUUAAGAUCUGUGAAUCGUCGCGAAAGCAAUCAAUGAGCCUCUUUUUUGAAUAUGUUUUUGAACAUGAGUGUUAGUGAUUCUUGAGUAUUUUUUUAGUUGAUUGAAAAUUACAUUAAACCAUGGCAACACCUGCACGAAUCUGCAUACUGGAUCGUCAAGUAUGUUAUCGAACCCGUCUUUCUGGUUAUAUCACACCCACGCGUGUUCAUUCUUAAAUAGAUUGAUAGCGUACUUAUUGAUAGCAUCGAUACUUAAGAAGGACAGGAUCGAAUGAAAUUUUUUCAGUGGGUUUGCGCGGAUACUAAAUAAAAAAAAAAAAAAAAAGAAAAAUUAAAAGAAAGAAAAAGGGAAAAAAAACAAGAGAGAAAGAAAAAAGAAGAAGAAAAAAGGGAGAAAAAAUAUGAAAGAAAAGAAAAUAAACGAAAGUAAAGGAGAAGAAGAAAAUUUUUACAAAGGAAAAUUAAAAAUCGAAGCAUUCGGUUUCAUCAACCGAAACGAACAUCGUUAAACCCUCGAAUUAAAAGCGUUUGACGAGACUCACCGAUGAAUGCGCAACGAUAAAAGGUAAAAGAAAAAAAAAAAAAAAAAGAAAAAAAAAAAGAAAAAAAGAAGGAAAGUUAGGUAAAUCGAGCAUCGGUUCGCGUCAACGAUCGAGGCUAUAUGGUGAACGUAUCGAGAGGCAAGCAUUUCCUAACCGCCAGCGAUACGAAGUUUCGUCCGGUCAGUGCAUAUAUAUAUACGUAUUUAUAUAUAUAUAUAUAUAUAUAUAUAUAUAUAUAUAUAUAGAUACAUAUAUAUAUAUGUAUGAAUGUGUAUGUACAAGGACCGGUCAUCGACCGCAUUUACCAAUGCGGAAAAUCCGGUGACGCGCGCGUACCGUGUUUUCGUUCGGAAGGUGUAACGAGUUCAACGUCCUAACUCGCUCCCGCCUCUCUCUCUCUCUCUCUCUUUCUCUUUCUCUUUCUCUUUCUCUCUCUCUCUCUCUCUCUAUAUAAUGCCACCUGUAGGGAGGUCAUGCGCUUAUGCGUCGAGGAGCAUGUCGCGGAACCAUGUGCUCUUGAAAAUUGACGGUAUUUUUGCGAGAACAGCAAUUAGGCAACGAGUCUAUGUAACUCCAUAACGAGCGGGAGGGGAGAGGGGAAAGGGUAAGAGAGGAGGAGAUAUGGGAUGGACGAGAGCCAUCGAGUAGUACCUGUUCAUCGAAAUCAACCCGUCUGAAAACGAACGACAUACGGUCGGCUUGAUGGUCAUUGACAUCGGAAAUUCUCCUAACGUGUUCGUUUCCUCGGAUCUCACGAUUUUAAUUCGCACGAUAAACUGUGACGAGAUUGAUCCUAAACUAUUCUCGUUUAUAAAUAAUAUUUUCAUUUCUCUUUGACUUUUCACGUGUCCUUGUUUAUUCUGUAAGAAUCAUGUUUAUAUUGUAAUUCUUCUUUUUUUCUUUUUUUUUUUUUGUUUUUUUGAUCUUACAUACGUUGUCUUGUAUACACGCUGAAUGUAUUCUCUUCGAUUUCAUGUAUUAAAAUGAUUAUUUAUAUAGAUCAAGAUAUCGUAUUACCUAGAUCUCGAUAGUUCAAGUUCGACUAUGUAAACUUUGUUUGCGAUCGAACGUAAACGCACGCGUUUCCCGUAACCCAACACAAUAAGCAAUUAUCUACCGCUAACGCUCAAUGUACGAUAAUCUCAUUUAUUACGAAACGUUACACUCGUCCGUGCAACACCUGCUAUCGAUAAUGACCGACUCUUAAACUUAACUAUCCGUAAUCAACGAAGAAUUCCCAUUAUGGCGUCUCAGCAACUGAGAUUCCACCGAUUUAUCCCGCAAUCAAGACUCUUUUAUCGAGUAGUCAUCGGUCUUUUGAUCGACAAACAGAACGAUCUUCCUCUAUUCCUAUCCAUGACGUCGUUCAAAAAUCAUUAGAGAUCAUUUAACGAUACGUCAUUCAUGAGAGAUUUUAGCCAUUCGUUUCUAUCUUCUACGGAAAAACCACAAAAUCCCUAUAACGUCGUUUCGUCUAAUUGUUUAAUUCCAUUGUAAAAGAUACAUACAUAUAUAUAUAUAUAUAUUUAUAUAUAAUAAUAUACAUUUAUAUUUUAUAAUGACUUCGAUUAUAACCAAUAUAAAUAUUAUAAAUAUUAACGAGUACAUAUACUUGGGUAUGUGUGUAGGUAUAAAAAAAAAAAAAAAAAAAAAAAAAAAAAAAAAAAAAAAAAAAGAAGAAGAAGAAGGAAAAAAAAAUAGAAUAUUAGAUACGGACGAUUUCUCACUUUUGUAAAGGCUGUUAGUUUAAUCAGAAAGAGUCGCGACUAUAAAUCCGUUCUUGUCGAUCGUCAAUCUAAAAGUGUCACAACUUCGAAGUCUUAAACAUAUAGUCUGUGCCGUGUCGUAUAUACAACUUCGAUCCGUAAUAACAACUUAUCUGUCGGGUAAACGUUACCUCACUGUUACGACAUGAGGUUGUAGUAGCAUUUCAAAUUUAAUGUUCGAACGUAUAAACUUCUCACCAAGACGAUUAUAAAUAAUUACAUAGCAGAAAGUAAACGGUUUUGUCCGUAUUCGAUAAACAAGUGGUAUCAUCUCUCUCUCCCUCCCUCUCUCUCUCUCUCUCUCUCUUUUCUCCCCUUUGACUGUCUGUUUGUCUGUCUGUCUAUCUUCUUCCUUUUUAUUAUUUCUUUUAUUUCUCGAAUUCACGGUUUGACCGAACUCGCGAAUAAGGGAAUAGUCCUAACAAUAGGGAAACCCGUUGUAUUGUUCGUAAAACACGUAAUGCGGUGUAACGUUAACGUUAUUUGACAUGUGUAAAUCCCUCAACGAUUGCUCGAAAAUUUGCGAUCGUGCGCGUUAGUGGCGCGUGCGAGGAAGCGGGAAAAGAAUCGACCGUGACGUUCCCGUUGACGUUUUGUUUCGGUUUUGCGCGAAAAAGCGCGAACACGUUACACCGCCGUAUGACCAUCAUUUCUCUUUCCCAUUCUUUCCUUCUCGAUAAAUGCCUACCCUUCUGUUCGGAAAUUGCUACCUCGCGAACAGGUCAACAACCUCUUUCGACAACUUUUACCACCAGAACAAAAAGAAAUAAGGCUCAACUCUAUUCGAUCGUUUUUAGCUUUUUCAAAAAGGAUUUUACAUUAACGAAGUUAACUUUUUAAUAGUCUUCUUAUAGAGAGUUAUGAUUUUUCUUUCUUUUUUCUUUUUUUUUUUUUUUUUUUCCAACACAGUCCGUCAUUUGUGUAAUCUAUCAAUUUGUUCUAUCGUAGCGAUGAUGAUUUUCAUUAUGUUCGUUUUAAUACAUUUAAAUAUCGUUUCGAUUUUAUGGAUUAAGUAGACACGUCUCUCGCAUUAUUAAAUUUUAACAUUGGAAAGUUUGCGAUUAAAUGAAUGUCAUUUCGAAAUUUUCCUUUAUUUUUUUUUUUCUUCUUUCUUUUUUUUUCUUUUUUCUUUUUUUUUUUUUUUUUUGUUAAACUUUAAAACGUGCACUAUUUCACUAUUUGUUACCGUGGAUAAACUCUGCGUAAAGGUUUAUUAGAUUUAGAAACAAUCUAUUCGUUGCUAUAGUCAAAAAAAAAAGUUUAUACACAUGUAUAUUUAGAAAAUGUUACGAUCGUAGCGAUAGAACAUCAAAAGGAAUUGAAAUAUUUCACUUCUAUCAAAAAAAAAAAAGUCAUAGCGUGUGCAAACGCUUUUCACGAUGAUGAUUACAUAAAACAAUACUGGCAGUCAGUCGAAAAAGUAAUAUAAACGGUCGUACUACGCUACGCUUGUAGUAGUAACAUGAAAUGGUUGUUCUCUCUUUCUAGUUUUUUUCGUCUGUUCGUUACACCCCUCGUAAAAUAAAAAUUACGUUGAAAAGUUUUGAACGAUCGAAAUCGAAGUAGUAGUCGUAAUGAAAAAAGUUUGAUCAAACUACUUCUAAAUUUGUUUAAACCCGCAACUUCGAUCCCUAUUUCAUCUUUUUCUUUUCUGGUUUUUUUCUUUCUUUUUUUUUUCUUUUCUUUUUUCUUUUCUUUUUUUCUUUUUUUUUUUUUUUUUCUUUCUUUUUCCCUAUAAGUCAAGGUCGAUCUCAUAGCCCUAAAGAGCGUUCGAUCGGAUUAAGGAGUAAGCGUGCGCGCGCGCCCCUAAAAUCGACCCCGCCCGCUCCCACUCAGCCACCCCUUCGGAAGCUUGCGCGUGACCGUUUAACGAUCCGCAGCCAUCUUGGACGCAUGGCGUCGCCCAGCGCCGGCGCCGACGUCGCUCGUCACGUCGCCCCAACUGCCUGCGGCUUAUCCGGAAACUGCAAAGGAGUCUCGUUCUUAUCAGUCACAACAGAUGGCGAUGUUGGUUCUUAUCCGGUUUAUCAAAGAUUUGCGUGCUUUCGACUCGUUGAUUAGGUUCGUCUCGUGAUGUGUUAUCAGUAUUUUCGAAAAAUCGUAACAUCCUUUUCGUCUCUUUCACACGUGCUUGUAAUCAUCAGGUAGGCUUAGUAAUACUAACGAAUAAAUAGUUGAAUCUUAAAGGACAUUUUAGAUAAAGCGAGUGAUAAAUUUCCUAGUUCAACGAAGAUCAACAAAAUAGAUUUAACUUUGAAGAUGUUGAAAGAGGUAAUAAAUUCUAGGAACAAAAUAUUCGCAUUGCCAAGAGUCAAGUCGUGAGAUUAUUAAGGAGAUCAAUGUGUGAUUUUAACGGCGCUCGGUAAAACGGUAAUUUCGACUAUUCGUUAUCGUCGUAAAGACGGUAAAGGUAAGAUAAAGAAAGAGAGAAAUCAGGUGGUCGCUUAGGAGAAGAUUCCUUAAGUUUAUCGACCUAAUCGUCUAAGAGCUUUAAUUGUUCGAGGAUGCGAUACGAUUCUGAGCAAGGUAAAGCCAAGUUUGAGGGACUUCGAAAGUUCCGUGAGAGAAGGCAAUUAGGAGGCAGUGACCUGCCUCAAGGAGAGAUUCGGAUGGCCUUGAUGGACCGCGGCCUUUUGUAGAUGAGAAAAUACUGCGGUCGAGAUUCGAAUCAUGCGGCCAGCAGGAGAAAAACGUGAUUUUUGAAAGAAAAGGAAAAGAAGAUAGAACGAAAAAAGAGAGAAUGAGAGAGAGAGAGAGAGAGAGAGAGAGUGAGAGAGAGAAGGAGAAAGAGAAACGUUGCGAGAACCGUAAAGGAUAUUUGGUUACUUCCGGUUCGUCUAUUCGCGGCACCAUCCGGCACGAGGUGCAUUCUCACGCUCAUCUGCAUAGCCGGGUACACAUCAAUAUUCAGGCAGGCCGGAAAACGGGGUCCGUUUUGCAUACUGGAUGGACCCCCCGCUCGUGCCGUUCCUUCUUCGAUGGGGAUCACAGUGGGACAUCGCGAGCCAGAUCCUGAGAAAAGAAUCAUGGCUGACGCAAUGUACAAAUCAUAUUGGUUCCUAUCUAUAAACGUAUUCGAGAUAAAAAUUAUAAUCUUACACCUUUUCGAUGAAUUUAAAAUAAUCUUCGUUUCGAUCUUCUUCAUUGAAUAUUCAAAGGAUUCCUUUAUACUUAUUAUACUUAUUUACCGUUAAACGUUUUAAGAAAAUCCUCGCGAAAUUUAAUGGCACGAGAGCCGAAUACGUACGAUUCUGUUCGUAACGUCGAGGAAGGCAGCUCACGUAAUUUAAAUAAUUCAAAAAUAACCCUGACCGCGGUUAGGCUAUGAUGUGACCCGAAGCCGGCUUACAAUCACAAUGCAGCGCCGAGUUCACAGGGUAAGACAGGUAGCACGUCGUCGGGUCUGCAUACAUUAGGCCGAAGACAUGAUUUCUUGCGACGAUUACUUUACAGCACCUAUAUCGUUUUCUUGUUUUUCUUUCUCUUUAUUUAUGUAUUUUUCUGUUUUGCUUUUUUUCUUUUUCUUUUUUUCUUUUUUUUUUUCUUUUUUUUUUUUUUUUUCUUAUAUCCUGCGUAACACCGACGACUCGAUAUUUGAUAUAUUGAUUUUUAUUUGCAAUAAAAAAUUUCUUAAUAAUCGAAUCGAUUUAUGUAUAAUUAGUAUAUCAGAAUUAAAGUACCGAUAGAAAUUCAUUUUUCCGUCGCAAAAAGGAAAAAGUAAAAGAAGAAGAAGAAGAAGAAGAAAAAAAAAAAAAAAGGAAAAUCCAGCGUAAACGUUAUUUUCCUUCAUUGUGCAAAUUCAAUGAUCUCGAUUCGAAAUUUCAUCGGAAUCACGGAACACGCGUAUUUCGUAGCGUAUAAUGAAUCGCGGUGGACGCGUAACGCUCUUAUCAAUGUGAAUUCAUGCAAAUUCUAUAGGCAUUACUUAACUAAUAAUUCGAUCGUCGAUUCGAGCGAAGCUUUCGAUCGCUUUCGUAAAAGCGAACGCGAAUGGAGAGGGGUUAGAGGGCGGGAUGCAGAUGAGCUGACAUAGUCGACCCCCAAAGCGGAUGUUGGCAGUCUGUAGUUACGUAGACAAUGGUCCCGUGCCAUUAUGUCCGUCGAAUCCUAAAACCCCAUAGAGUCGUCCUUCUCUGUCUAUUAUCCGACUGGUGGCAGGCCACAUUGUGUAUCCGGCCUGCCACGAGACCUCGACCAUUGUCGGGCCACGUAAUUAUUCGCAAAUCUUCCGCUCGUUGCUGGUCCUCUCUCUUCUCUCCUCUUCCUCCUCAUCCUCUCUCUAUUUCUCUCCCUCUCUUUCUCUCUCUCCAUCUCUCUCUCCCUCCCUCCCUCUCUCUCUCUCUCUCUCUUUUUCUCUUUUUCUCUCUUUCGCGAAAGUCCAAAGCUUCUAUAUCUCUCUUACCCUCCCACAAUUUAUCGUUUUGGAAAUUAUUAAAUGUUUUGAAAAUUUCUUAUAUACAUAUAUAUAAUAAAUAUGUCAUAUUUAAAUUAAUUAAUAUAUUAUAAUUAAAUAUGUAUGUAUAAUAAAUAUAUAAUAAAAAAUAAUAUAUAUAUAUAUAAUAAUAAUAAAUAUCUAAGAUAUUAUAGAUUCGACGUAAAUUUCGAACUCGACGAACAACGUAAGAAGUAUUAACAAUGAAUAAAAAAGUAAAUCGCAUGCAUUAAUCUUGUUGGUUACAUAAAGAUGGAAAAAUAAAGUUGUUGUAUGAUAAAAGUGGAAAUAAAAAGCUAUAAAAUGUUCGUAUAUAUACGUUUAUGGCUGUUAUUCAAAGUGUAUUUUUAAAUCAAUCGCGAUGAGGAAAAAUUGGUAAAAUAUAGCAUGAUUCUUACGAGUCGAAAAAACACGAAUGAUAAUGUAUCCGUUCGAUCGAACGAAUAUUAUGCGAGUAAUCUUUACGAAUAUAACGAUUGCGAAAGUGAAUAUAACGCAUACAUUUACAAAGCUCAUGCAAAGCAAAGGUAAUGAUGAUGACUCUUUCAAUGACUCACCUCCGGAUCGGUUGUAUCGGGCCGUUGAAAAGAGUAGAUAGGAGCAAGUUUAUCGUAAAGAUAUAUUUCAUCGUAGAUAUAUUUGAAGGGAUUCCUAGUGCUGAAGAAAUCUAGAUCGAUAUCAAGAAUAUACGGUGUGUCCUUUUCUGGCAAGUAUUGUCGCAAAGCUGUACUGAUCGACAAAAAAUCAUCUUUCUGAAAAAAAAAAAAAAAUUACAAAUAUAUAUAUAUAUAUAUAUAUUUAUACAUAUAUACAAACAUAUAUAUACACGUAUAUAUUAAUAACGUAUCAAAGAAAAAAAAAGGAAAAAGAAAAAGGAAAAAGGUAAUAAUUCAGAAACAGAAUUUUACAAUGACAUUAUUAUAUCAUUUUAUUAUAAAAUUAUUCGUUUUAUUUUGAAACAUCCGGUAUAAAUACAUAGAGGCAUUCUCUAGGUAAAAUCAGAAACCGGUUUUAAUUCGGAGAUCGUUUCGUUUCCCAAUGUCACGGUUUCGUCCGGACUAACUUACAUAAAAUUGCAUUUUGCGCAGUCAUCGCGCCGAAAGAAGUUUCUCCCGUGGAUAUAGAAAAGAAAAAGACAAAGAGAAAAGAAAGGAAAAAAAACAAAAAAAAAAACAAAAAAAAAAACAAAAAAAAACAAAAAAAAAAGUAAAAAAGAGAAAAAAGUAUUUCUUCCUAUGUAAUUCCGCCUAAAGUAUUCUGAUAUGUAGGUUACGAUCUUUCUCGGAAUUUUAUUUGUCGGUGGGACAGUGUAAGAAAAAAAAAAAAGAAAAAAGAGGAGGGCCGAUAAAAGGGAAGAGAGAAAAAAAAAUAGAAAAAAAAAAAAUAAAAAAGAGAGAGAGAGAGAGAGAGAGAGAGAGAGAGAGAAACGACAACGUGAUACUCGACGAGCAUCCCUUCGCCACCCUUUCAACCCAAUUUACGAACUGAGUUGUACGCGGGGAAUGCCGACGCGUGCGAUAGAGAGAACAUUGUUCGAGGCAGACCAGAACCGCGAUGCAGGCACGUAUAUGUAUAUAGGUUGGACUUUUUGGUACGCGCAAAAAACAAUGACUGCACUCGAAUUAAUCCUGUUAGAAUUGAUACUCGGUACGGGGAACUGGAUCGCAAUUUGCAUGCGUUCACAACAAUGAAAUACACAAGGGCGAAUUCUAGAGGUGAUCGAGCAGGGAGGGAAAUAGGAGGGGAGAGGGUACGAACAUGGUUCAGGAUUCGAAGGGAUUGGAGAGGGGGAUGAAAAAGUCAACGAUCACCAUAGACAGUGGCUCUCAUUGAUAUUAUACAAAUCAAUUUUUCAUUCGUAAUAAAUCGAUACGUAUAUAUACAUUAUUAUAACAUAUCUAAAUGUUCCGUAUGUAGUAUAAUUUUUGCGAUAAAAUUUCAUAGUUCUUUUUUUUUUUUUUCUUUUUUAUUAUUAUUUAAAAAAGAAAAAGAAAGGAAAGAAACAUAUUUUUGUUAAAUAUUUUCAAAAAUCCAAUGUACUCUUUCUCAAAAAUGAUCUUACGCCAAUGGUAUUCAUUUGCAUUUACCUAACCUCAGCCUUGUCCCCUUUUUUCUAUCCUAACCAAGGGAAAAAGACGAUGGGAGCGAAAAGAAAGAGGAUGGAGAAGGAGAAGAAGAAGAAGAAGAAGAAGAAGAAGAAGAAGAAGAAGAAGAAGAAGAAGAAGAAGAAGAAGAGAGGGAGGCCGUAGGGGAGCAAGAACGACGAAAGAGUAUUCUUCAGCGAGGAUACUGGACCCAUCGCAAGACCGGUUUGGUAAGAGUCAACUGAUCGUUCAGGCAAGAAACAACUGAAUCAUCGUAUCCCCUAUUCUUCGAAGGCAGGAUCGGUACGAGCAUUGCUACGUCAGCAUACUAAAAUUUCAGAAGCUUGAACGUUGUGAAGGUGCCGCCGAAAAACAUGACGACGAAGACGAAUUUCUAAAGGUUCGAUUAAACGAUCUGUCGACGUAAAAAGAUAACUUUAAGCUGAUAAAUUCAUUAAAUAAAGAGGUACCGUAAAGAAAGAGAUAGAUAGAUAGGUAGAUAUAACGGAUGUGAUAAAAAAGAAAGAAAGUUGGGUUCGUUUCUGCGCGUCCAUCCUGUUCCUCGACGAUAACACGAGUGGAGCACAAUGGACACGAAGAUGCGGGACCUCUGCCAAACAGGUUGUGAGGGAAUGGAUUACGUGAAUCACGCUCGUAUCGCGUGCAAUGCAACGAGAGCACCUGUACGCACACGUUUAUACGAGUAUCUACAUACGAAUAACCAAAAGGGGAAACUGAGAGUCAUGUAGGUGAAAUUAAAAUUACAUAAACUUUGCGUAUAUUUUCAUUCGAGAAAAUAUUGUCGUCUUUCAACCAAUCCCGAUUUUAUUCGAUUAUAUUCGACAAAAUGAAAGACAAAUACAACGAGAAGGGAAUUAACAUAUAAUUAAAUAUGUAAAUAUACGCGAUAUUUGUAGAUGAACUUUUGAACUUAAUGCUUGACAAUUUGAAGCGUUAUUGCGUCUAUCGAGUAAACAUAACGUUUAUAAGCAAAGCGAUUAACAUCAUUCAAAGAUUCGAUUGAUUUAGAUUCCAAUAUUAAUAGGUGCAUUCGAAUUAGCACCAAAGCCAUAUAAAUUUUCGAUUUCUCGACUAACCCCUGACCUUAAGCUUGACAAUAUCGAAUCGUUCGAUGCGAUGAAGUUCGCAAGGGAAUUAACGGUGUCGGGAAUAAAUAUCAAAUUUGUGGGAGACGAAACGGGUAACGACGGAUACGGAAAAGCGAGCGUUAAGUGCACACAGACGUCUCAAGUGGUAAGUAUACCCACGGGAUAUAACCGAGUCUAUGGGAAAGUGCCGGUAAGCCAUGCUGCCCGAGCGAGUGCCUACUUUGGAAGAUUACUUCGAUACGCGUACACUUAGAUCUGGGUAUCCAUUCAGGUGCCUGUGGAGAAUUCUAACCGGUUUCGAGCGCUGCUGGUAGCCGACAUUCACCCCUCGCGAUUGCGAUCCCUACGGUCAAAUCAAGAGAGUAAAUUAUUCCUCUCUAUUAAUCCCUCUGCAAUCCAUCCUACAUCCUGUUUAUGCGAUACACGGAGGACGCUUAUGCCUUAAAAAUUUUAUAAAUAAGAAAACACGUUUUUAUUCUCGAUGUAAUCGAUUUCUGAUCGAUCGAAAAUUAGGUUAAACCGAAUGUUAUAUUAGAGAUAAAGGUUUAAUAAUAUAUAUAUAUAUAUAUAUAUAUAUAUAUAUAUAUAACGUAUUAUUCGAGACGAGGAAAAACGAAUUGGUUCGUACCAGGGAAUGGCAAUUUCCAUCUAACUAAAUUCUCCAUCUAGAGAAUCAUUAUCAUAAUUACAAAAACGUCGCCGUACUAAUCGAUAAUGAAAAAUGUACAAAAUGGGACGUUCUAUGUGUGACGAUCGAAAUACAAUAUUUCAGUAGCUGAACUCCUCAUUAAUUAUUCAUAACGAUUAUCAUGACGAUCUUACAGGAGUAUCCUGUCCGUCGGCGAUGUUUCAUCGGCUAAAUCGUAUCUUGUAUUCUUUCGUUCUCCUUCGAGAAAAAAAAAGAAAAAGAGAAAAAAAAACAACAACAACAACAAAGAAAGAAAAAAGAAGAAAAAGAAGAAAGAAAAAGAAAAUAAAGAAAGCUAAAUAGAUAGUCAGAUAGAUUUUUAAGGAUUCCAAGGGAAACACAGUAGUCAUGAAAGGAAUCAAAAUUCGAAGAAGGAACGAUCGGAGACGUCGCAAUUAGAAGCAUCGAGUCUUGGAGAAUAGACAUCGAGUCUUCUAAUCACAUACAUACACGUCGCGUAUCGCGCGUUUGGAAUAAAAUCCUUAAGGCAUACCUACACGCGUAUCUCGCGCUUGAAUCGCUUAACGAAUACAAGGAGUCCCUUGUUGGCUGAUGUGAGAAGACUCUGGCGAGUCCAAUAUCUCUCUCUCUCUCUCUCUCUCUCUCUCUCUCUCUCUCUCACACAUACACACACACACACACACAUAUAUCUCUCACUCUCUCUUUCUCCUCUUUUUUUUUCUUCGUAGACUCGAGCAAAAGACGACGAUUUAAUCGACGUUUGCAAACGAAUCGGCAUGCACAUGCUUGGACCACGUAAAUCGUAUGAAUCACAUAAAUCGAGGUCUCAUCGUAGAUUCUAAGCUAGGAGCGUCGCGUUACGCCGAUCAAAUGGUAGCUAGAGAAAAUAGAUAGAGGAGGGGAUUUAAGUACAUACGUAGUAGCGAGAGAGGAUAAGCAAAAGACGAAUGGUAGGCGGUCCUAGAAGCCGUACGUUUUCUCUAACAUCGCACAGAGUUUUGCAACGACUCGAGAGAAUACGAUCGCUCCGUGCCACUCAAUAUGGCGUCCCGUUCCUUCUUCCAUUCCCCUCCUCCUUCGUCCCUUCCAUCACCACCUCCAUAUCCACCUCCGCCACUUCUUCCCUCCACGCUCUGUCUAUACGCUCGCAUCGAUCAUGCACUUAUUACGUGAUAAGCCUCCGUGCUCGUUUAAUACUCACUCCCUCCUUCCCUCCUUCUUUAUAUACAUACAUAUAUAUAUAUAUAUAUAUAUAUAUAUAUAUAUCUUUUCUUUUCUUAGAAGUUCUUCUUCCUUCCAAAGACUCCUAGUUCGUUGUAUCUUCUUCCUUUUUAUUCUUCGUCUUUUUCUUUUUUAUCAACAUCCCCUCCGCGUCUCAACUUCUGUCAUUCCCUACGACUCUCGACCGGUCUUUCUACAUCUUCAUAAUUCAUACGUUCUCGCUCUAAUGGAGAUUUAAUUUCGACCGGUUAACAGGAUUCGCUCGAUCUCUUUUCUCUUUCUCUUUUAUCCAUUCGCAUGCACGCUCUCUUCGUUCGUUGUGCUUUUUAUCAUUUUCUUCUUCUCCUUAGUUCUAUCAUCUCCGCCUCUUCUUUCUAGUUAAUAACUCAAUCUCGAGGGGUUAAGCUUUCCCAAAGGCAAUGAUUUAAUGUUAACAUUUGUUUCCAUAUUCGUUAAAACGGAUCAACGAGUAUUUUGUAUCAAUCGAUAUAUAUAUAUAUAUAUAUAUAUAUAUAUAUAUAUAGAUCUAUGAAUUGUAAGUAAUAUCGUUUGAUAAUCACUAAACUAUUGGCUAAUACAAUAAAGUAAAGUAAAUUCGCGAGAUAUUGGCGAGAGUCACCACCGGAAACUGACGGGAAACUGAUCGAGUACUCGAUCCUUUCUCCUAGCGCGAUAUUCCACCUGGGGAAUCUGAGAAGGGGGUUGGAUCCUAUGCCCGCCCUUAGGUCUAACGAGAGACCCUCGCGAACAACGUUCUAGUGGAACCUGCGAUCCCUUUUGUAUAGUCUAAGUGACGUCGUUUUCCAUUCAAGGGGAAGGGAAGAGGAAAGGAGGUAAAAGGACAAGGAUAGAGACCCAUAUUCUCGAUCGGUGAUCUAUGAAUCCCCACUCGAGUUCGUUCUUUCUCUCUUAUUUGUGUAAUCGUAUAUUUUAUUGGCAGGUCAAAGAGAGAGAGAGAGAGAGAGAGAGAGAGAGAGAGAGAGAAAGAGAAAGAAGCCUCAAGGCUCGAUUGUCGACGAAGCAUUGUAUAAAUGCUACCGUCUGGUGGCUUUAAAAGUAAAAGAGAGAGAGAGAGAGAGAGAGAAAUAGGUAAAAGGAAAAAAAGAAGGGUAGAAGAGGCUUUAAAAGUUAACAACGUCCUCUCUAUCCUGCGGACGCACAGGUACGUAUCUGAAUCGAUUUGUGAGAGCAAAACUAUUUUUUCCUUCGUAUUGUGUCGAUCGAGCGCACUAGAGGCGCGCGUUGGCUUCUUGCACGCCCUCAUACAAGGUGGAUCGCAUCCAAGAAUGGAAUUUAUGGGCGUAUUGGACUUGCGGUAAAGAGGGUGCCGAUCUAAUAAUGGAUGAUCGAUGAUCGGGAUAUCGAAGGAUCUCUUGUACACCAGCGGAGGGCACGCGCGUUCGCUAUAUUACACUGUUUUUGAUCCAUCGCCUUUAUUCAAGCUAAACGACAGCACGGAAAUCGAAGAUACUUCGAUCUAUCUUGUCGGUCGCUUUCGUCGAACUAUUUAUCUCUUCUUCUUUUUGGUAAUUAUAAGGUAUAAUCAACCUCGAGCGCAUCUUUCUUUUUCUUUUUUCUUUCUCAUCCUUUUUAUAUUUCAUUCUUUAUCUCUCUCUCUCUCUCUCUCUCUCUCUCUCUCUCUGUCUGAGAAAUCCAUGUAAAAAGAUAGUCGAAAAAGGGUGUCGAGCGUGCAUCAACGAUACACGCAUAUGUACCGUGUCGUACGGAGAUUUCACUCGGCAUGCAAAUCAGAUCGACGGCUGCCGUGUGAGAAUUUUUCGGGCCGUAGGGUCCUACGAAUCGGACGCGGAACAGAGAAGCGGUAAGUGCCUAGUGGUAGCUCGAAAAAAAAAAAAAAAAGAAAGAAAAGACGCAGCCGCAUAGGUAACCCUUGAGCGGGAUCUAACUUAACCGUUUUCUCUUUUCUUUUUACGUCGUUGAAUGUUACGGCGGUGCAUAAAAACUGCUGCUAAUUAUGCGAGAACAUAUACCUGGGGCCAAAAAGAUAUAAAUGCUAAACGCGCGGCAUUAUGCGCGUGACAGCACGGUAGUGUAUCGGCGUCUGGAAGGGGUAGCGAAAAAGAGAAAGAGAAAGAGAGUGAGGAAAAAAGUGAAAGAUAGAAAAAGAUAGAAAAAGAUAGAUAGGGGAGAGGGCGAGAGAGAGAGAGAGAGAGAGACAAGGAAAAGAGGUGGAGUCACGCUCUCACCCCGAAGUGCAAGAGCCGUCAACGAUGAACAAUGCCGAGUGCGUUAGGAUACACGCUGAGUGAAAAAGUAAAAAGGGAAAAAUUUAGUUUCCGCCUGUCAUGGCAUCGACCGUCGUCACGCUUCGUUAGUUUGCCACGUUUAUAUCAAUCACCGUGGUGCUGCGGGCAAACGUUUGACCACCACUGUCCGCAUCGCCCGCCCUCCCUCCCUCCCUCCUUCCCUCUCUCCCUCCCUCUCUCUCUCUCUCUCUCUCUCUCUCUCUCUCUCUCUCUCUUUCCCCUUUAUCUUUGCACAUUACACGUAGCCGCAAAUAUAUUACGCGCUCCUCCAUUUCCCCGCUUGUUUGCAAAUUCAUUUUUCCAACCUCGAACUCGUUAUUUUUAUCCUCGUGGAAAGAACGAUAAUUGCCACGUAAAUUAUCCGUAUGCCUUUUGAUUUAAUGAGAUUCCGCGAGAACGAUUAUAUUCUCGUUGCGUAGGCAAACCACGUAUUAUUCGUAUGUAGAUAUAACGAAGCGACAAAGUCUACCUUUAGUUUUAAUUCUUUCUACCCUAUUCUCGUUCGGGGAUCAUUGACGAAAAUAAAUAUAAAAAUUUUGUGUAGCCUUUAAAGGACGAAAUAAUAAAUAAAUUCGUUUGGCAAAAUUUACGAUGCCAUUCAUAAACUCGAAAGGUUCGUCGAUCGCAACAAAAAAAAAAAAAAAAAGAAAAAAAAAAAGAAAAAAAAGAGAGAAGAAAGAAAUAGAAAAAAAAGAAAAGAAAGAGAAAGAAAAAAAGGAAAAUGUCCUUAACAAGGGCAAGUUUCUCUUUUUCACAAGCUAAUUGUUCACCGAAGGUUCGAUUUAAGUCACCGAAGGAUAACCAUUCAGAUUGAAAUCAAGGCCAAGAGAGGUAACGAUUCUCACCAUGGUGCCGCUAAUUUACAUUACACUGGAAUAAGUAUAAGCUGAGAACGAUCGGUGGAUUGAAAAAUACGAGACCUACAUAAGUACUACCUAUUUGCAAUGAUGUGACUAUAAUGAAUACAUGUCUACAUAUGUAAUUUUAAGAUACAACAUCUGGAAUAUAUAUUUUAUUUUAUUUAAAAUAACACGAUAACAAAUUAUUCUUGUUUUAUUUCAAUAUUUAUUCGAUUAUUAUAUUAAUUACAUUAUGUUUAUUAUAUUUAAUUAAACAAUUAGUUUAUUACUAUAUUCGUUUCUUCAUUAAGAAAAAUAAAAUGAUUUUAUCAUUUAUUUACAGUCAGCAUCGACUUUUAAUCUUUACAUUAAUAAUAUUAUAUUAAUAACAGCGCUAAGAAAACUAUAUAAAAUAUGCCGAACAUCGUAUCGCUUAUUAUGAAGUUCGACCGACCUUUCGCUAAUUAAAAAACAGUUAAACAGUUAUAUGAAAUUCGACGAAUAUAUUGUAACGCACAUUGUGAGGUUCGUUGCGCCAUGCCGAUUACUGUGUAUAAAAUUAAAUUAAAAAAAAAAAAAAAAAAAAAAAAAAAAAUGAAAAGGAAAAAAGAAAAAAAAUCAUGUACACUUUAUACGAUUAUUUAACAUCGUAAAUGAAUUUUUGCCAAAGUCGAGACUCGUUUUUUCGGCCUUAACAAACAUUAAAUUCGUCCCUUUUCAUCAAAAUCGUUGCAACCAUUUUUAAGAUACAAUUGAUUAUUGAAAUGUAAAAAUACAUAUACAUAUAAAAUUGUU